NNNNNNNNNNNNNNNNNNNNNNNNNNNNNNNNNNNNNNNNNNNNNNNNNNNNGGCCUGGGCUGGGGGCGAGCCCCUGCGCUCCGGAACAGGCCGUCGCUUUCACUUCCCUAGUGGCGUCUCCCACCGCCGCGCCCGCGCUUCUGUCCCCUCGCCGUGCUCGCUGGUGCGGGGUGCCGGGCGCGCUCCCCCCUCCGGCCCUUUGCGCUGGCUGUGCCCCUUGGCGGGUGCGCCCCAGACACCGGCGUGGCUUUCUUCUCGCUUUUCUCCAGUCUUUGCUCAAAUGUGUCACCUGCCGGGACGCCUUUCUCAAUAGCACUUCUUUCCACCUGAUCAACGGUAGGGCCGGCUCCACAGAAGGGACGCCUGUGUCUCGUUCCCAGAUGGCCUCAGGACAGCGCCUGGCGCACAGGGAUUCCAUAAACACUCGUGCCCUGAAUGCAGAGGACAGGCCAGUUCCGGGGUCGAAGGAGGACCGCCUCCGUGCCACAGUGUGACCCACGGGAUCAGGGAGUCAGGCCCGCCAGGGGUGGCCUUGUUUCUGAAAACGAAGGAAGCCUAACCCCCCCGCCCCCCGCCCCAUCCCACAAAGUAAGUCAGCCAAACAUUCACUGUCACCCAGCACAGGCCGGGGUCAAUUCUGAGGUUACGUCCAGCCCAAUCAUGCAUUUAUUGAUGUACCCACUCAACAGAACAUUCACUGAGCACCUGCUGCGCGCCGGACCUUGUGAUGCCUGCGAGAAGACAACGUGGACAGACGAAGUCUAUGAGGUAUCGCCCAAGAGGCCUCAGAACCAGCAGGCCUGUGUUCUAGACCCGCCAAGCAUUGCUGGCUGUGCGGCUCGAGGUGGCUGCCAUGCUGCUGAUGGGACAGAUGGGAGGGUGCUCUGAUGGCCUGGCACAAUGAAACACAGGGGACUCCUGAUGGAUUUCCCAGCAUUUCCUUGAAAGGUCUUGGACUGUGGAUCAUGGAGGUAGGUGGCACCUGGGCCCUACAGAGUCCCCCAGGACAGGGCCAUGCCUACCCCCUCCGACUUCCCACAACACAGUUGUGCUCCCCUCUUAGACACUACAGGACAAGGACAGACAUCCCCUCCAACAGUCUUCCAUCCCUAAAACGGGUCUCCCUCCUGCCUCCCCGGCAGUUGCCUCUGUAAAGGGCAUAUGUCUCGUCACUAGACCUUUGUGUGUCCCCUCCCCUCGGCCUAGAGCAUCCUCUCCUUCCGCUGCCCCAGGCUGAGUCAGGAGCCUCCCGGCAGGAGCAGUCAACAACCAUCGGAGCUUCCCCCUGGGCAGGUGACUCUGGCUCUUUCUGGGUUUCCUCCUGUCCCCUGGGACACAAUAGCUUUCACCUCUGAGUGGGGACGAUUCAGGGGGUAAGGCCUCUCCUAACCCUCUUCCAGGGUCAGCUUUUUUUUCCGGCUUUGGAGUGGGUUUUGAUUUUGGGUGAGUGACCAUGUUCAGAGCUUUUUUCUAGCUAUUUAACUUUCCAUGUGAGUGUUAGGACCUCCUCUCUGGUGGGACGAUUCCGUGGAAGUUAGGACUGGAGCGGCACUCAACUUGUUGAGCUGGUAGCAUUCGAGGCCCUGUCCUGGCCCGGGGAGGCGGGGAGGGGGGGUGGUAGGGGUGCUCAGGUACUCGCCUACUGAGGUGCAAAUCAAGCCUCAGAGGCCCUGGGGGGGUUUGGGGCCAGAGCAAGGGAUUACCCACAUUGCAGGCAAGAGACUAAGGCACUGAGCAGGCAGGCCACUGUCCCACUGGGCAACAUUCCUCCAGGCCAACAGGCGACUUUUGCAGUUUUGGGGGUUUUCUUUUUAAUCUUUUAUUUGUAGUUUUUCAGUUAUGUCUUUUUAUCCUUUACAUUUAUAUUUGUUGGUCUGUAUUUUUUAUUUCUAUUUUUUCAUUUGAUUCAUACACACCCAGGGGUACCUCCUCUACCUGAACCAACAGCACUUUACCAAACGGGGUGAUCAGCACCAAAGACCCGAAGCCCAGGCCCAUCUGCAGCCUCAUCCACGCUGGCUGCUCACCUCUACGGUUGGGUCUCGGUUCCGCAUCCCGCUGGGACAUUCCUUGGCCGUGCCCUUGACACAGCGGCACGGGCUCGGAUCAGGCCAACGGAGCGCUCAGGCUUCCUCUUUGCGCUCCCCGUGCGGUCGCCGGGGCAAACACAGAGGGUGGGCCGGGAGCACUAACGGAUGCAUGAAUGAGAGGAGCAGGGGACCAGGUCGCCGCCUGCGGGAGGCGGGGCCGCGGGAGAAGCACCGACGGGGGGACCGCGCGGUGCCGGAGCCUGCGCAGAGGAGACCCAGGAACGGGCGUUGCCGUCCGCCUGCCGAGCUGGCGCUGCGGAGCGGGCGGGAGGCGGGGCCGCGGGUCACGUGCACUCCGGGCCAGCGGGGCAGGGCCGCGGAGACGCUCCGCCCCCUCCCUGGGUGGAGCCAGGCUCGGGCCGCCCGAGACCUCUAAACCC
rnacentral:lncRNA from 1 species